rnacentral:tRNA from 1 species
AGAAGAGAAGUUUAAAGUUAAAUAUUCAAUUUACGUUUGAAGGAUUCCUUAUUUGGACUCUUCUA